rnacentral:rRNA from 1 species
GACGAACCGUGCAAACGUUAUUCGGAAUCACUGGGCAUAAAGGGCGCGUAGGCGGCUCCAAAAGUCAGGGGUGAAAUCCGGCAGCUUAACUGUCGCAGUGCCUUUGAUACUGUGGAGCUAGAGGGAGGUAGGGGUCUGUGGAACUUCCGGUGGAGCGGUGAAAUGCGUUGAUAUCGGAAGGAACGCCGGUGGCGAAAGCGACGGACUGGAUCUCUUCUGACGCUGAGGCGCGAAAGCCAGGGGAGCAAAGCGGG